rnacentral:rRNA from 1 species
CCUACGGGUGGCAGCAGUGGGGAAUAUUGGACAAUGGGGGGAACCCUGAUCCAGCGACGCCGCGUGAGUGAAGAAGUACUUCGGUAUGUAAAGCUCUAUCAGCAGGGAAGAAAGAAAUGACGGUACCUGACUAAGAAGCCUCGGCUAACUACGCGCCAGCAGCCGCGGUAAUACGUAGGGGGCAAGUGUUAUGCGGAUAUACUGGGUGUAAAGGGAGCGUAGACGGCGAUGCAAGUCUGAAGUGAACGGCGGGGGCCCAACCCCCGGAUUGCUUGGGAAACUGGAUGGCUGGAGUGCGGGAGAGGUAAGUGGAAUUCCUGGUGUAGCGGUGAAAUGCGUAGAUAUUAGGAAGAACACCGGUGGCGAAGGCAGGUUACUGGGCCGUUACUGACGCUGAGGCACGAAAGCGUGGGGAGUGAACAGGAUUAGAUACCCCGGUAGUC